AUGGGACAGGAUCCCAGGAAUUUCUUCCUCUGUCCACUCAUCAAUCAGUGCUGUCUCCGGCUCCGUCAUCACAGCCGCUGGGCAGGUGCGCUGGGGACUGCUGACUGGCCCAGGGGAACCUGUGGGCAGGCUGACCGCCUUACCAGGCCAUCUAUGAUGUCGCACCUAGCAAGAUUUCCUCAGAGACCACACAGCCUGAUCCUAGAACCCACCUGGAGAAAGGGGCGCGUUUCCAAUUUGUCUCCUUUUGGUCUUGCUUCUUCGGAACAGCGCAUGCCCCACUCCCCCACUCCCCCACUCCCCCAGGCCAGGCGCCCUUCCAAGGCCAUCAGGAGGUGCUCACUGGUGCAGAGGGAGAUGGAGACGAGGUGCCAGGCCUGGGGCACUGUCUCGGAUUAAACUGUCUUGAUCCGGGACUUCUGAUAAAAGCAGGCCGGAAGCAGCGUCCCUGGUUCAUCCCCAGAUAGACAUGUAGAUAAGUGAACCGAUUCAAGGAAUAGAGGGUAAGGGCUCCGUGGGAAAUGCUGAGAAACUUUUGAAGGUUUCAAAGAUGAAAAAAAGCUUAAAUGUAGGCCGGCCCCAGAGGAUGCACCCUGGAGGCAGCUCUCAGGGAGGGAAGUGCAGGCAGAGGAACCCGCCCGAGGGCAGAGGCCUGGAGGCGAAAGAAAAGGCAGAUCCGGGGCGUGUUCGGGAAAGGUGGGGCUGACCCUUAGGCUGUGGUGCCGGAAGUAAGUAGGGACGUGGGAAGCCGGACCGUGCAGGGGGCCGGAAGCCAGGCUAGGGAUGUCAGACGCCCUACCAGAGACACCCCACGGUUAUUGAAGGUGUCUGGGGAGAGCGGCCCGAUCAGAGCAGUGCUUCGGCAAACAAGUCCCACAGCAGCGUCUGCCGGACUGGGGGACAGAAGGCCAGGAAGAAGGGGGACCGGCGGGGAUGGCAGGCAUGAGAAGGAGGAUGGUGAGGAGGAGGAGGAGGGAGAGGAUGGCAGGUAAGCCUUAGAACGGCAUGCACUGUUUCAAGCACGUCUCACGUCCCUAAGGUAAUGCCCACACCACCACUGGGAGGGAGACUGCCAUUUUCACCAUUUUACAGAUAACAAAACCGGGGGAUAGAGAGGUUAAGUCACUUGUCCGGGGUCACCCGCCUAAGAGGUGGAAGACCCAGGGUGCCGCCAGAUGCUCUAAGCUGUUUAUUCAGGCAAAACAGGAGGGCCUGAGCGAAAGUGGGGAGCGCUAGAGGCGGGCUGCGAGACCGUGGGCCCAG
rnacentral:lncRNA from 1 species